GACCUCAAAUCGGGUGGGACUACCCGCUGAACUUAAGCAUAUCAAUAAGCGGAGGAAAAGAAACUAACAAGGAUUCCCCUAGUAACGGCGAGUGAAGAGGGAAAAGCUCAAAUUUUGAAUCUGGUGUCUUUGACUCCCGAGUUGUAAUCUAGAGAAGUGUUUUCCGUGUUGGACCGUGCACAAGUUCCCUGGAACGGGGCGUCAUAGAGGGUGAGAAUCCCGUAUAUGGCAUGGACUACCGAUGCUUUUGUGAUACACUCUCAACGAGUCGAGUUGUUUGGGAAUGCAGCUCAAAAUGGGUGGUAAAUUCCAUCUAAAGCUAAAUAUUGGCGAGAGACCGAUAGCGAACAAGUACCGUGAGGGAAAGAUGAAAAGCACUUUGGAAAGAGAGUGAAACAGUACGUGAAAUUGUUGAAAGGGAAGCGU
rnacentral:rRNA from 1 species